rnacentral:misc_RNA from 1 species
AUACCCCUCAAGCAUUGCUUGGUGUUGGGCUAUGUCCUUUUAAGGGGACCAGCCCGUAAUUUGUAGGCGGCCAUCGGUGGCCCCCCAGCGUAGCAGGCUAACGCACUCGCUUGGGGGUGGCCCAUAUGGCCCGCCCAAAUUUUAUAAG